rnacentral:rRNA from 1 species
UCGGGAAUCUUGCACAAUGGGCGAAAGCCUGAUGCAGCAACGCCGUGUGAGCGAGGAAGGCCUUCGGGUCGUAAAGCUCUGUUGUUGGGGACGAAGGGCGAAGGGUUAAUAGCCCCCAGCCUGACGGUACCCUUCGAGGAAGCCCCGGCUAACUACGUGCCAGCAGCCGCGGUAAUACGUAGGGGGCGAGCGUUGUCCGGAAUUAUUGGGCGUAAAGCGUUCGCAGGUGGUUAUUCAAGUCCGCUGUCAAAGCCCGGGGCUUAACCCUGGAGAGGCAGUAGAAACUGAAAAACUAGAGACCGGUAGGGGUAGAGGGAAUUCCCAGUGUAGCGGUGAAAUGCGUAGAGAUUGGGAAGAACACCAGUGGCGAAAGCGCUCUACUGGGCCGGUACUGACACUCAGGGACGAAAGCGAGGGGAGCGAAAGGGAUUAGAUACCCCUGUAGUCC